CCUACGGGUGGCUGCAGUGGGGAAUUGUUCGCAAUGGGCGCAAGCCUGACGACGCAACGCCGCGUGGAGGAUGAAGGUCUUCGGAUUGUAAACUCCUGUUGAUCGGGACGAACAACCAUCGGGAUAACACCCCGGAGGUCUGACGGUACCGAUUGAGGAAGCCCCGGCUAACUCUGUGCCAGCAGCCGCGGUAAUACAGAGGGGGCAAGCGUUGUUCGGAAUUACUGGGCGUAAAGGGCGCGUAGGCGGCCGCCUAAGUCAGACGUGAAAUCCCU
rnacentral:rRNA from 1 species